UGAAGAAUGUUACCAAGUAUGGCAACAUGACCCAGGACCACGUGAUGCACCUGCUUACGUCUGGACCCGUGAACUACCCACAGCUGAAGGGGAGCUUCCCGGAGAAUCUGAAGCACCUUAAGAACUCUAUGAAUGGUCUGGACUGGAAGGUCUUUGAGAGCUGGAUGAAACAGUGGCUGUUGUUUGAAAUGAGCAAGAACUCCCUGGAGGAGAAGCAGCCCACCCAGACUCCACCUAAAGAGCCACUGGACAUGGAAGACCCAUCUUCUGGCCUGGGAGUGACCAAGCAGGAUAUGGGCCAAAUGUUCUUGUGAAGACAGAAGCCAGCUCUGCACGGCGGCAGCUCCCCUGCUCCUCAGCCCUUCUUACACUCCCUAACAUCACACCCCAUUUCCCGUCUUCCUGCACCCUGGGGCUUGAGACUGGUAUCUGCUUCACCGUCCCUGGACACAACAAAUGAAACCGGAACAGAAUGAGAACACUGGAGGGAGGGCCUUGCUGCCUACCCCCAUCUAAGGGACCCCCAUUUCUGACCCAUUAGCAGUCUUUAAUGUGGGGCUCUGAGAUCUAGGCCCACUGACAGGGAUAGGGGAUGCCCUACCCUUAAUCUAGGCUGGAUACAUUUGCUGUCUUCUCAAGGAAGAGGCCAAGCCCUCCCAGCAACCCUUCCUCAUGUCCUGCCGACGCCCCUGGGAUCCCUGCUCAGCCAAGCUUGUCAGCAGCCUGUAGGACCAUGGUUCACGUGACAAUAAAAGGUAGAAGGUAGAA
rnacentral:lncRNA from 1 species